rnacentral:tRNA from 1 species
AAGGCUUUAUGUUAAUUAAACAAAUAGCCUUCAAAGCUAUCAAUAGAAGUCUUCUCUUCUAAGCCUUA